rnacentral:rRNA from 1 species
AAAAUUAAACUGAAGAGUUUGAUCAUGGCUCAGAUUGAACGCUGGCGGUAGGCUUAACACAUGC